UAUUAAUGGGCUUCGGUAACUGCUUCAUAACAGGCUAAUCGUUGGCUCUUUGUGAGAGCCUUCGUAUGUGAGACAACAUUAAACCUUCGAUCAACAAUAGUAACUAGAUUUCGGGUCGGUGCAUAAAAUCCGUCUCGUCAAAUAACAGCGCACUUGAAAUGUGAGCUCUUAUUUUGUUUAGUUCACUUCAAACACAGCCAAUGUCAACCCGUCUCACAAUACCGCAGUGUGUAUUCAAAAGUUGCAAAAAUAAGGCCCGAAAAAGCAAUUUAACGGCCGGAGUAUCUUACUUUCGCUUUCCUAGCAAUCACGUGUGCAGAAUGGAUCUCGAUUGUCGCCAGAGAAACAAGAGAUGACUUUUAUAAGCCAGCUAAGAACUCCGCUUAUUGACACUGGACAUCUUUGCCUUCUGUGCUCACGGCUACUGAAAUGUGGCCGAAACAUUGUAAUAAAAAUACCACGCUUGAAACCGUUUAAA